AAAAAUCAAGGAUAGAUUUCCCCUAUAUUCUUAUUCCCUGGAAAGAUACCACCUAUCCCCAGCGGACUUUAUCCCCAGCAGAGUCUUCCAGAAGAAUAAUCCCUUCUGCAUUAUCAGCAAAUUCAAGAAUUGCAGGACUUCUCUUACAAUAUCAUCUUAUUUCCAGAGGAUAACACCUUGUAUCCCCAGCGGAGUCCUCAGAAAGGUCCAAUCCUCAUAUACCUCACAAAUUCAAGAACCACAGGGAAUCUCCUGCAUUUUUGAAGUAGAAGGCAUCUCCAU
rnacentral:lncRNA from 1 species